UGCCUGGCGGCUGUAGCGCGGUGGUCCCACCUGACCCCAUGCCGAACUCAGAAGUGAAACGCCGUAGCGCCGAUGGUAGUGUGGGGUCUCCCCAUGUGAGAGUAGGGAACUGCCAGGCAU
rnacentral:rRNA from 2 species